UUCUGGUCCUGGCUUACACUGAGUGUGCUGAUUCUUCCCCUCAUUCCAAGGGGCCUCUGCCCAAGGCUUCCUGCAACAUGGCAGAUUCCCCAGCUCUAGCCAGUGUUUCAACAGUUUCUCUCAGAACCAUUGCCAGCAUCUCACAGGGAAAGGGUUGGAAGGACUGAGCUUCCUGAGACCUCAUAAGACUGAGUGCUUGUUCUGAGCUAAAGCUGUGCUGAACUGAUGAUCACAAGGAUUCCUCUGAGUGAGUGAGGGGUGUUGAAGGACUCCACCUGCCAGAAUCCAUUUUAGCAGGCCCAGGCAGCAGAGGAGUUCCAGCAGCUUUCUUAGCCAGUAGUACCUACUCUGGGGGUUCAGGGAGCUCUCUGAGAUAGCUCUGCAUCCUUCUGAGUGCUACCCCUUCCUAGUCUUGGAUCCACC